GAUGAACGCUGGCGGCGUGCCUAAUACAUGCAAGUCGAGCGAACGGACGAGAGGCUUGCUUCUCUGAUGUUAGCGGCGGACGGGUGAGUAACACGUGGAUAACCUACCUAUAAGACUGGGAUAACUUCGGGAAACCGGAGCUAAUACCGGAUGAUAUUUUGAACCGCAUGGUUCAAAAGUGAAAGACGGUCUUGCUGUCACUUAUAGAUGGAUCCGCGCUGCAUUAGCUAGUUGGUAAGGUAACGGCUUACCAAGGCAACGAUGCAUAGCCGACCUGAGAGGGUGAUCGGCCACACUGGAACUGAGACACGGUCCUGACUCCUACGGGAGGCAGCAGUAGGGAAUCUUCCGCAAUGGGCGAAAGCCUGACGGAGCAACGCCGCGUGAGUGAUGAAGGUCUUCGGAUCGUAAAACUCUGUUAUUAGGGAAGAACAUAUGUGUAAGUAACUGUGCACAUCUUGACGGUACCUAAUCAGAAAGCCACGGCUAACUACGUG
rnacentral:rRNA from 1 species